GAUCUCAAGCCUAUCUAUCUAAGU
rnacentral:siRNA from 1 species